CAGAAUACACAAGCGUCUGAUUUUGUGUAAUUAGGGGAUACAAUGUGUUGAUUUUUUCAAAGAUGAAAACAAAUGUUUCGAAUGCCGAAUUGUAAAAACACUGAAAUGUUAUUGGUGAUAAUAAUUCAGACAAUUGUUCAGUUGACCGUAGCCCAACAUAACCUUACACCAAACGGUAUGGCUUCGCAAAGUUCUAAUUA